CAGGACUCUGACUGGGCCACUUCAGAAGGCGUAUUUUCUUCUGUUUAAGCCAUUCUGUUGUUGAUUUACUUCUAUGCUUUGGGUCAUUGUCCUGUUGCAACACCCAUCUUCUGUUGAGCUUCAGCUGGUAGACAGAUGGCCUUAAGUUCUCCUGCAAAAUGUCUUGAUAAACUUGUGAAUUCAUUUUUCCUUCGAUGAUAGCAAUCCGUCCAGGCCCUGACGCAGCAAAGCAGCCCCAAACCAUGAUGCCCCCACCACCAUACUUCACAGUUGGGAUGAGGUUUUGAUGUUGGUGUGCUGUGCCUUUUUUUCGCCACACAUAGUGUUGUGUGUUUCUUCCAAACAACUCAACUUUGGUUUCAUCUGUCCACAGAAUAUUUUGCC